rnacentral:rRNA from 1 species
UCAAGACGGGUGGUAGAGGGCCAUUAUGCCAACGCCCUAAGCGUAAAGGUGCCCGAGGGCCCGCUCUUACGAGUACGCUGCUGUCCUCGGUCUCGGUCGCUGUAUCCAGUAGGAGGCUAUAACACACCCCGAGGGGUGCCACGUUCCUCCUACCCUUCUCCAGUGCCCAAAACCGACGUUGGCCUGCAAUCUGGGAAAAACACCAAGCAAAAGCAAGGCUGAAUCCCAGGCCGCAUCUCUGACCUCCUACCCUUCCCUUUUGGCAAUUUCACGUACUGUUUAACUCUCUUUUCAAAGUUCUUUUCAUCUUUCCAUCACUGUACUUGUUCGCUAUCGGUCUCUCCCCAAUAUUUAGCCUUAGAUGGCAUUUACCACCCAUUUUGAGCUGCAUUCCCAAACAACUCGACUCUUAGAAAGCGUAUCACAAAGCCUCGGGCGCUCCAAGCCAUGUACGGGAUUAUCACCCUCUAUGAUGCCCUUUUCCAAGGGACUUAGGCUUGGUCCGAAGCGGAAAACACUUCUUGAGAUUACAAUGCGGACGCCGAAGACGCCAGCUUUCAAUCUUGGGCUCUUCCCUCUUCACUCGCCGUUACUAGGGGAAUCCUUGUUAGUUUCUUUUCCUCCGCU